rnacentral:rRNA from 1 species
AUGCACGCUGGCGGCGUGCCUAAUACAUGCCAGUCGCGCGAACAGACGAGGAGCUUGCUCCUCUGACGUUAGCGGCGGCCGGGUGAGUAACACGUGGAUAACCUACCUAUAAGACUGGGAUAACUUCGGGAAACCGGAGCUAAUACCGGAUAAUAUAUUGAACCGCAUGGUUCAAUAGUGAAAGACGGUUUUGCUGUCACUUAUAGAUGGAUCCGCGCCGCAUUAGCUAGUUGGUAAGGUAACGGCUUACCAAGGCAACGAUGCGUAGCCGACCUGAGAGGGUGAUCGGCCACACUGGAACUGAGACACGGUCCAGACUCCUACGGGAGGCAGCAGUAGGGAAUCUUCCGCAAUGGGCGAAAGCUUGACGGAGCAACGCCGCGUGAGUGAUGAAGGUCUUCGGAUCGUAAAACUCUGUUAUUAGGGAAGAACAAAUGUGUAAGUAACUAUGCACGUCUUGACGGUACCUAAUCAGAAAGCCACGGCUAACUACGUG